CUUACUGUUGUUGUUGUUGAAUUUUGCUGCCCGUGAUAUUGCAUUUUCCGAUCUCGUAAUGCUCGAAGAAUCGCCCACCUUCUCCCCUUCUCUGCACCAAUUUCGCCUCUCAUCGUGUCCUCUCGGAAUCAAGCUCUCUCGCUGAGCUGAGCUGAACGCAUUGAAUUGGAGUUGUGAGAUUGGUGGGGGCGUUGCUAACUAUUCGAGCUGUUUGCCGCUUCAAGGAGUGACGCCCUUACGUGAUCAUCUCUCUAGGAUGGGCUCGGUUCUUGACCUGGUCGGUGCUUGAGCGGUGGUUUUCCAAGUGUUUCUGAAUCGGUGUUUAGCGGAUUUAGUUUUAUUAUUAUCAUUAUUAUUAUUAUUUAUUAAUUAUAUAUAUAUAUAUAUAUAUAUAUAUAGGAUGUAGUGUUAAUUUUUGAGGGAAUUUCGUUGGCAGGGGAUUGGAUAGGAGAUCUUUUUCUGAGUAGAGGUGAUUGAUUUUGCUCCUGGCGGAUUUCGAGAAGGAAAGAGUAUGAUCGGUGCGACAUUUCGUGGCGUCUGUUUCGGUUUGCGUUGUGGGGUUUAGCUGGAGUGUGAUACGGAGUUUUGAAUUGUACCGCGCCCUUCGCUACUAGUACACCUUCGCAGUCCUCUGUUCCAUGGUUUGUUUGGUCUGUUUUCAGUGUGGGAAUUUCUCAUGGUCUGGUGGUUAGGUCCGGUGGCGCAGGUUGUUCUCGAAAUUUUCCAUGGUUGUCUCUGUGAGUGGUACUCUGAUGAUUCCCUUUAGCUUCAUUUGCUGCCACAUUUGGUUUUGACUCUAUCUUUGUGAGGACGGCCCUUAGUUUUAGGAAGUACUGUACGCUCAAGCUUCUCAUACAAGUGCACACGUCGUGUAAUCGAUUUGUGUGUUAAAAUCAAGUUGGCAGUUUGUGAAAUUUCAAUUUUCAUUGUAAAAGGUGGAGCAUACUUGAAUCGUAUUUUUAGUUAAUAUGGACGAAGGUCGCUGGUGGAUGGCCUGUGAACCACACGUUCGUGUUGUACGGGAUUUGGUGCGUUCCAAGGUUGAAGAGAGAGACGUCGAAGAGCCCUUGCACAAAUGUGUUUCUUUAUAUAUGGCUGACAUCCACGAUCAUUCUCUUUUAGAGAACGCGAACGUUUUUCUUACCAUUUCAGGUGCAAGAGUCACAGGUAUGGAGGCAUCUUUCAUGUGGCUGGGUGGAUGGAGGCCAUCAUGCGCUUUGAUGUUGGUGUAUUCUCUAAUGGGAGUGCAGCUACAUGACCAGAUUCGGAGUUUUAGAAACGGAAUUAGCAAAUUGGGGCGUUCAGAAUCAGUGUUAUCCGACAAGCAGAUAGUCAACCUACGGAAUGUUCAGAAACAUGCUCGUGAAGAAGAGAAAAAACUGACCAAGAAAUUAGCGACUAUACAGAUGAGCUUUUGGCGCCUCUUUCGUUGUUGCAGUUGAAAACACCUAGUAUUGUGGCAUCCUGGUCCCCUCGAGUGGCGACUCAAGUACUAGAAACUAGCCCGGUCAAGGAAUGGUUGCCUCAAGGAUCAGAAUGACUUUGUUUAUACUGAAGUGCCGUGCCGGAUAUCUUGCAGAUGCUUGUUAGCGACAAAGAUGUGCUUGCGGCAGUAUUGCAGUUAGGGUCCUCAAGUAGGUCCAACAAGAGUGACUUACGAACUGUUCUUAAGCGUCGAAUGUCUCGACUAAAGAAACUUCUGAUUCAGGCCGACCAGCUUCGUUUACAAAUACUUCAUCAACUCUUUUUGGUACGACCCCUGUUCAAUUUGCUCAUUGCGCCAUAGCUGCAUUCGAAUUGGCCUUCUCUAUGCACGCAAUGGGAUUUUCAGAUGAGAAAAGAAAACUUAAGGUGGCCUCCUCAAGCCUGUGUGUGAAGCCUUUGACUGGAAGGUCUUUACCUCCCAGAUUAUCUGGUAAUUCUAUGGCCUCUGAUUCCUCUGUCACACCAGAUGAUAUCCUUCCCAGAGAGUCAAGCUGUUUACGCAGUGCAGGGCCUGUGCAGUCCUCCAAAAACUCGCUUAUUUGGUAUCAUCGAAGUACUUGCCAAAUUUAACGUCAAAUUUUUGGUUGAGAUGCAGUGUCAGUUCUUUGUAGUCUUUAAGAUCUCUACCAAAGCCUUGUAGGUGUAGAGGAUUUUUUUCCACUUGAGAGUCGAAUAUGCCAAUACGUACCAGCCAAAUUGGGACAGGGAGAGUUGUCUCUUUCACCAGCUUCAGGGAGAAAUCCUAUAACAGUAGAGUAGGGAUUUAAAAGAGGAUCAUGUCCGAUUCUCUGGACUAACGUGAAGACAAUUACACAUCAUGGACAGCUGCUUGAAGGGUUAUGCUUCUAGUGCCAACAACCUCAAUGCAACGUAUCAGAAUAAGUCUGAUUCCAUCGUUCAGCGGAUGAUUUGAGAAAUUGUUUGACGAAGUUGCACCUUGCGAUAAGGUGGGUUCUUGUAUCAAGAGAUGCACUUUGAGAAGGGUUAGAUUACCUCGCAACAAGAGGUUAAUUCGGGAUGAGAUUAGAUUAGCUUUCCGUCUAUUUUCUCCCAACAGUUUUUACUGUGGGGUUUUGAGACCGUGAGGUUAAGCUUAUAUUUCACAAAUUAUUUGGGUUCUUGUUUUUGAGGUGGAGGAUGUUGCAAAAUUGCAUCUGCUCACUGAUCAUUUGACGAAAUAAAUAAAAGAAAUUUUUUCAUCGCC